rnacentral:lncRNA from 1 species
AAAUACGCAUAUAAACAAUAGACGAAGUAGCAUUAACUCAACCAAAACAGCGGAUGCACUCGUCGCGGAAGGAUCAGAAGUCAUGAAGAGGUUUCCGUUCAAUAAGUGAAGGUCAUACUCGUCGAGUAACUAAUAUUAAAGUCCGUCGAUGAAACAUAAAAUGUGGUAAGCAUCCAACAAUAUUGCGGAUUGGUAAUGCGUCAUGUUUUAUCAUAAGACCAAUUUAUUAACCAACGAUAUAUCUUGGUUCCUUCCUUACCAAUAAACCCGAGAGAAAAAAACACAAAUACAACACAGAACAGUUACUGUUAUAUGACAUAUCUACAAAACACAUAUAGGGCAACAUUACUGAUUGCGAUUGUGAAAUCUCGGCUUAGCGGUGGGCGAUUCAGGCUCUCAUAUGAGUCUCUAGUUUGGGAUGCAAAAAUGCGUUAUAAAUUAAAACAUAAGGGAAGAGUUUUUUUCUAAUUUAAAGAUCGUUCUCUAUAUAUCACAUAAUUGUAUGUAUUUUGUUUUUGUUUUUUGUAACAUGUUAUUUUGCCGUAACGUUUGAAUUAUACGCUUGUGUCUGGUUAUAUUACCGGUAUCUGCAGAGUUCACGGUGAUGGUUAGUUUUGCAUCAGAAUUAUUUAAUUCACUAUACGUAAGGCAAUGUGUAGCCAUGCAUAUGGUAUAUGGUGUUUCAUUAUUCUUAUGUAUGCCUGGUUUUUCUUUUUCUAAGUUUACUUAAGUAAAAUAUUAAACAAAUAAUUUCCAUAUUUAUCUUAUAUUUAUUUAUUUUGUAGACAUAGCUUCACUCGUCCUCUUUCUAGUAGCCACGCUCGCAUGUGUUAUGAAAAACUACCAUUAGUGAUCCACAACUUCACAAACACAACUAGUGCUACAAAGAUUGGCUCGUCAGCUUUCUAGUAGCCACCAUCACAAUUGUUAUUAUGAAGAAUCAGCAUGAGGGAUUCACUCGUCAUCUUUCUAGUAGCCCGCUCGCAUAUGUUAUUAUGAAAAGACAACAUUGUUAAUCCACAGCUUCACUCGUUAGCUUUCCAGUAGCAACCAUACAUAUUAAGUGUUAUCAUUAAAAAUGUCAUUAGGGACCGACAGUUUCACUUGUCGGCUUUCUUGCAGACACCAUCAUGUGUUUUAUGACAAAUCAUCUGAACUUCUAAACAAAAUACGUCCAAAUUAUUUUUGAAUAUUUCUUUUAUUUCACUCUUUUAGAUUACGUCGUUUUGAUAUUAAAUAUUUCUAUACACA